GGAAAGUUCACUAUAAAAACGCAGCAAACAAAGGGUCCUGUUUUCCUCCCUGACUGAAAACACGGCUACCUUCCUCUGGAGUCUAUUCACAGGUUUACUCUUGUUCCCCAGCAUAACCACUCAAUCAAUAAAUGCUAUUUAAAAACA